GUUGAACGCUGGCGGCAGGCCUAACACAUGCAAGUCGAGCGAUGAAAGCCUUAUGAACUAUUCGUAGUGAUUGGGGCCGGAUUAGCGGCGGACGGGUGGGUAACGCGUGAGCAACCUGCCUUAAACAACGGGAUAGCCUCGGGAAACCGGGAUUAAUACCGUAUGAGACCCCGCCUUCACAUGAAGAAGAGGUUAAAGAUUUAUCGGUUUAAGAUGGGCUCGCGUCUGAUUAGCUAGUUGGUGAGAUAAAAGCCCACCAAGGCAACGAUCAGUAACCGGCUUGAGAGAGUGAACGGGCACAUUGGAACUGAGACACGGUCCAAACUCCUACGGGAGGCAGCAGUGGGGAAUAUUGCACAAUGGGGGAAACCUUGAUGCAGCGACGCCGCGUGAGCGAUGAAGGAAUUCGUUUCGUAAAGCUCUGUCCAAGGGGAAGAUAAUGACAGUACCCUUGGAGGAAGCCCCGGCUAAAUACGUGCCAGCAGCCGCGGUAA
rnacentral:rRNA from 1 species